CCAGACUCCUACGGGAGGCAGCAGUGAGGAAUAUUGGUCAAUGGGCGCUAGCCUGAACCAGCCAAGUAGCGUGAAGGAUGACUGCCCUAUGGGUUGUAAACUUCUUUUAUAUGGGAAUAAAGUGCAGUAUGUAUACUGUUUUGCAUGUACCUUAUGAAUAAGGAUCGGCUAACUCCGUGCCAGCAGCCGCGGUAAUACGGAGGAUCCGAGCGUUAUCCGGAUUUAUUGGGUUUAAAGGGUGCGUAGGCGGAAUGCCAAGUCAGCGGUAAAAUCGGGGGGCUCAACCUCGCUCCGCCGUUGAAACUGGCGUUCUUGAGUGGGCGGGAAGUAUGCGGAAUGCGUGGUGUAGCGGUGAAAUGCAUAGAUAUCACGCAGAACUCCGAUUGCGAAGGCAGCAUACCGGCGCCCAACUGACGCUGAAGCACGAAAGCGUGGGUAUCGAACAGGAUUAGAUACCCCAGUAC
rnacentral:rRNA from 1 species